ACAGAGGUGGCAAGCGUUGUUCGGAAUUACUGGGCGUAAAGGGCGCGUAGGCGGCCAUCUAAGUCAGACGUGAAAUCCCCCGGCUCAACCUGGGAACUGCGUCUGAUACUGGAAGGCUAGAGUUUGGGAGAGGGAUGUAGAAUUCCAGGUGUAGCGGUGAAAUGCGUAGAUAUCUGGAGGAAUACCGGUGGCGAAGGCGGCAUCCUGGACCAAUACUGACGCUGAGGCGCGAAAGCUAGGGGAGCAAACGGGAUUAGAUACCCCGGUAGUCCUAGCCCUAAACGAUGAAUACUUGGUGUGGCGGGUAUCGAUCCCUGCCGUGCCGAAGCUAACGCAUUAAGUAUUCCGCCUGGGGAGUACGGUCGCAAGGCUG
rnacentral:rRNA from 1 species